rnacentral:siRNA from 1 species
UAGUACCCUGCCACGGUAC